UAACGCGUGGGGAACCUACCCUAUACAGGGGGAUAACAGCUGGAAACGGCUGCUAAUACCGCAUAAGCGCACAGAAUCGCAUGAUUCAGUGUGAAAAGCCCUGGCAGUAUAGGAUGGUCCCGCGUCUGAUUAGCUGGUUGGUGAGGUAACGGCUCACCAAGGCGACGAUCAGUAGCCGGCUUGAGAGAGUGAACGGCCACAUUGGGACUGAGACACGGCCCAA
rnacentral:rRNA from 1 species